GGGGCCGGGGGCGGAUGGGUGCCGGGAGUGUUCCGGCGGCGGCGGCCCGGGAUGGCGGAGCGCUUGGAUCACUUAAAAAAAUACUACCGAGCAAGAUUCUGCGGGCAAGGAGGAAAGAAGAUCAAUAUACAGCCUGGUCAAAAUGUACUGAAAUACAUACAGGAUUGUUUUGAAUGUGAUGAUACUGAUGUCACAAUUAACUCUCCAAAUGCAACCUCUUCCUCAACUCCUCUUGUCAGAAACCAGGAGAGGACUUCAACGCAGAGCCCUAGGCCAGACGCAGGGUUAACUAUCGUGGUAGGAAAUAGAACCUGUCAUUCCACAGUGUCCUUACCUGCAACGCCAGCGGAGACAGUCAGGAGCAAAGGGGAGCCAUGUGUGUUCUGCCCAGAGCCUGGAAGAAACAGUCGCAUAGCUGAUUCUAUCAAAACAGACAGUCCUGUGCAUAGAGGAGAAACACAGGUGUUAACAUUCAAGGAUGUUGAAGGACUAUGUGAAAGUCCUGCCAAGUUAUCAGAUCCUGAGGAUGAUCCUGGGGUCGUGGGAUCACCUCUUCUUGUGGAGGAAGCAAAAACUCCUGUACAAACGCGUACGGUCUCAAUCGCACCAUCAUCACCUUCUCCUGUCAAAGAUCACAACGUAGAAAUAGAAAGCGAUUGUGAGUUUUUAAUCGAUGAAUCGGGUUGUCUGUCUUUUAAGUCUUGGUUUUCAAUACCCCGCAAGAACAGAAAGUCACAAAAAGAUGGCUCUGCAGCUCCUGUUUUGAAAUCUCAGUCCUCUGACAAGGAAAAGACAGCAGAUAAGAAAGGCAAGAACAUGAAUGUACAGGCUGAAGUACAUAGUGAACAGAAAACGAAGAAUGUCAGAGUGCAACGUGACCUGAAAAGAACGUCAGAAUCCCAUCCGGUCUCUUCUGACAGUGAGGGAAAGGUCCUUAAAUCUAAAAUGCAAAGCAGUACUCAUGCAGGAAAAUCUAAAAAGGAUGCACUUAAGGGCUCUUCCAAGCAUAGAAAGAAGAUGUCUUAUGAAUCAGAAGCUGAACAACUGAUGCUGUCUGGGUUGGACUCAGAAACAUCUGAUGGAGAACAAAAGAUAAGAAGGGUGAUGCCAAGGGAGGAUUUGGCAGUGCCCUCAGCUGAGCAUCAGCAAGAGCAGAUGCUAUCUUCAAAAAAGAAUCUCACUCCUUGCAAGUACCAGCAGUCUGCUUCAAAAGCUUAUCAGCGUUCAGUUCACAAGAAACAAACUAAGCAGACACUUGCAAAUGAUACGGUGUUGAAGAGCCAAAGGAAGAAGCUGAAAAAAUCUGGAAAGAGAAAUGGUAAUAAAAAUCCUGAACCACGGAGGUGGAAGAGUUCUGACAGUGAACCUGGUGAAGAAGGUCUUGAGAGAGAGCCUUUAGAAUCAAAUGAGAUGUUUACCUCACCUCCGCAUCAGGAAUUACAGACUUCUGUGCUUCAGAAGUUGGCUAAGUCUGAGAAAGCUGAGAAAGUACUGCACGCUUUGGAAUCGGUUACUGAUGUAAAUAACAAAACUCCUUUAAAAGCUGUAGAGUUACUGCAGCAUCUCGUAGACAGUAUGAAGAAUUCUGAAAAGAAAAGAUCAUCAGUUACGUCUUCAGGGAAGAUGCUCAAAAAGGUUCAUCACAGAGCCCAUAAAAGAGCUUGCUCAAUCACGAGGGACAGUGAGCCUCAAAAUACAACAGACUCUGACAGCUCUUCUGCACCAGAGGUGGCGAGAAAGAAACGCAGACAAUCAGCUGUGAGAGCAAGUAAAAAACCAAAAAGUAACAGGCACCAGAGACUGCAACAUUCCCCUGCAGCUGAGAAAGCUAUGGGUCCUGAAAGCGGGCUUGUUCUAGAACAUUCUGAGAAAUAUACUUCGCCAAGUAAGCACUGUGAGGAGAAUAAUGAAUCUUCAGAUAAUUCUGAGGACCUGCAUUGUCAAAUAAAAAAUCUACUGUCAGACGAGAUAGGCAGGCAAAAAAUAGUGCUGCCUUCCAACACGCCUAAUGUUCGUCGGACAAAAAGGAUACGACUUAAACCUCUGGAAUAUUGGCGAGGAGAGCGGGUAACCUAUACAUUGAAGCCUUCAGGAAGGCUUUUAAUUAGUGGAAUAGCAGGUGCAGAAGCAGAACCUCACAUGAAGAAUAAGCUGAAGAGUCGUCAUAAGAAGAAAAGAGCUAAAACAAGAAGUGAGGUAGUGAAAUGUUUGGAUAUCCCCCUGGCUGAUGCUUCUAAGCCAACCAGCAUAGUGGACCCAGUAACAAAUCAGGAAGUUCUUCUAGAGUGCAUUAACUCUGGAAGCAGCCACUCAUGUUUCUUCGAAGAUGAAUCGAUAAAAGUAUAUAAAAGUUUGAACACGUCUGAUUUUGCUGCUGGUAAAUUGAUCUUGAAACCUCUUAAAGAAAAAGGCCACCAGUUUGUCCACAUGGAUACAAUAGCUUUCUAUGUUAUCCGUGGCCAGAUUAUUACCACCUUGCAUAAGACAUCGUAUUACCUGACUUCAGGGGAUUAUUUCUACGUUCCAGCAGGAAAUGGAUAUAACAUACGUAAUCUUCUGAAUGAGGAAAGUGUUCUUCAUUUCACACAACUCAAAAAUGACAGCCCCACUUUAGGUAUUGAAAGGCUGCUAUCAGGUCACCUCGAAGCCUUCUCUUCUCUCAGCCUGUCUUCGUAGGAGAGGUGUUCCGUCCCUUGGGUCAUUUUUGUGGUCCUCCUCGGGAAGUGCUUCAACAGGUCCAUGUAUUGAGGACUGCACAUCUGGACACAGUACUCCAGACCACUUGCAGGAAGCGUGUUGUCAGGAUCCUCUUCCCCAUAAGUUCACCUUCAGAUUGAAGAUCGUCUAAUGGGAGGGAGUUCUAAAGAACACUGUUAACUACCAUCCAGGUAGAAAUAUAUCCCAGUACUGGGAGCACGUAGUUUCACUGGUCUUAAGAGAUUUUCCUGCUCUGUAAAUUGUAAAUAGAUGAUUUGUUACAAGUUAGUUUUUCUUUCUUGUCAAUAAAUGUUAAAUAAUACAAA